ensembl:lncRNA
GUAAGGCUUCCCAGAAGAAGUGGCAUUUGAGAAGCGCCUUCAAUAAGGACCAGUGUCAUCACUGGAAGUGGAACAAUUAGAAAGGGGGUUUGGAUCAGAUGUGUGAGAGUCUUCAAAUACCUGGCCUAGAAGUCAGGCCUCCGUCGUCCUCGUGCGUGUUUGGAAACGUUUACUGGUUCCUUGGUUUAUCGCGCUAUCUGAGUGGUUGGCCCUUCAGUGCCAGUGGAGCCAGCGGUGCACUAGGAUCUCCCGUUAGUGCCUUCAGGCCCGCCGGGAACCUUCCUCUGCACUGCCCUGAUCCCCAGGAGGCUGACCCAUGCAGACUGCAUCAGCUGGGGUGCUGGUUGUGUGUGUGCAUGCCCCGUCACGGAGUUGCGUCUGACCCUUUGUGACCCCAGGGACUGUAGCCCACCGGGCUCCUCUGUCCAUGGGGAUUUCCCAGAUGCAGAGUUCUAAGCCUGGGUCCCUGAAUCACCAUGUGGAGCGAAGCUGCCUGCCAACUAGAAUCACCAGCAUUGGAGCAUGGGGUCCACCCUAGGGGACUGCAGCUGACUCAAGUGGACCAGUGAAAGGAUGAGCGCCAUGCUGCUCUUGGAUGUCUUUCCAGAGGGUGGAUAUACAUUACUCUCCACUGCCUAAUUGUCCCUGAAGAAGGAAACCGAAAGGUCUUGUGGAAGUUAUUGCCUUGACAUGUUGACUGAGCUAUUUCCCCUCCAGCCCAGGCCCACCUGCCUUUCACACAGCCCUCACUCGGAGACCAGAGGCGGAGGACUUGACAUUUAUCCCCUGUCUUCCAACACCUUGUCGUGGAGGAAGAAGGACGUCUAUAGGAAUGAGACCUGUGCCACUGGGGCUUUGUGAGGGGGAGCCCUGACAUCUUAGAGAUGCCCUGAAAGCCCGGCUACAGAGAAAUCUCCUGGGACACAACAAGUUCUCAGUGACUGACGACGACUCCUAUGCUUCUGCUCUUCAGAUGGUUGAAUGAGUUUGGGACAUGUUGCAUGAUGGAGCAUUCUUCAAGAUUCUUGAUGCAGAGCGAGAUAAUACAGAUGCUGGUCACAUGGACAUAUUUUGCUUCUGGAAGUUGGGCUCUGAGCUUUCCCUGUCUCUGAACUCUCUCCAGUGCCAAUAACUCAGGGCUUGUCACAUGAUAGACGCAUGCAUGUGUGUGCACGCUAAGUUGCUUGCUUUAGUCGUGUCCAACUGUUUGCGAACCCGUGGACUGUAGCUGGCCAGCCUCCUCUGUCCAUGGGAUUCUCCAGGCAAGAAUACCCCCUGGAGUGGGUUGCCAUGCCCUUCUCCAGAGGAUCUUCCCAACCCCGGGAUUGAAGCUGCGUCUCUUAAGUCUCCUGCAUUGGCAGGAGGGUUCUUUACUAGUGACACCUGGGAAGCCCCCACAGAUGCACAGUAAACGCUGAAUGGAUCAGCAUCCUUUCUCCAGUCUCAAUCUCCUUAUUUGCUAACUCCUCCUCACUUUCCCAUUUUCCCUGCCUCAGAUUGUCUCCUUUUCCUGGCCUCCGCCUUCUGCCCUUCAGCACCCCCUUGUGGUCUCUAAGCACAUCACGACCUUAGCUGUCUCUGCAGUGAUCCAGGCCUCCAUCAUGCUUGUCUAACUGGCUCUGUCUCCAGAGACACUGCCCGCAUGCAUUCCAAACCCAGCAGGGACACUGUUGCCUGCUCCGUGCCAGCUCCUUAGCCAGACAUUCAAGGCUCACUACCUCCUAGCCCUAUGGGGGUGGUCUGGUCCCCAGGUAGAAUCUAGGAAGCCACUUUUAAACCAGCUUACCCCAAGGAAUCCUGCUUCCCUGCAGGAUAUUAAUAUAGCUAGCUCCGUUCUCCUUAGAUUAGUGUUUGCUGGGUAGAUCCUUUCCUGUACUUUCCUUUUAAACUGAUUUGUAUCUUUAUAUUCCAAGUGGGUUGCUGUAGACAACAUAUGGCUAAGUCUUACUUUUUUAUCCAGUCUGACAAUAUCUACCUCCUGUGUGGAUGCUAUUUAAAUUUAAUGUGACUAUUGGUAUGAUUGGGUUUAUAUCGACCUUCUUGCUGUCUGCUUUCAAUCCGUCCUACCUAGUCUUUAUCUUACCCUCACCUCUUUUUCUGCUUUUCCUUUCUUUUGGCCAAUCAACUACUUUUAUGGUUCUAUUUUCUGUUCCUUGUUGGCUUAUUUCAUGCCCAAUUGUUAAGCAGUUGAUUUCAGGUUUGCAUGUGUGCGUGCUCAGUCGCAAGCAGUCGUGUCCAACGCUUUUCUGACCCCAUGGACCGCAGCCCUCCAGGCUCCUCUGUCCGUGGAAUUUUCCAGGCAAGAAUACUGGAGUGGGUUGCCAUUUCUUUCUCCAGGGAAUCUUCCUGACCCAAAGAUUGAAACUGUGUCUCCCGCAUUGGCAGGCAGAUUCUUUAGCACUGUGCUGUACUGCGUCUUCAGCUUAUUACAGUCUCUAUAUUCAAGUAUGCCCACGUGUCAUGGAAGAACCUACAAUAGGACAUUUCAUUCUCCAUCAGCUUUUUGAGCUAUUACUGUCGUG